rnacentral:rRNA from 1 species
GGUCAAGCGAAUAAGCGCACACGGUGGAUGCCUUGGCGGUCAGAGGCGAUGAAGGACGUGGCAGCCUGCGAAAAGUAUCGGGGAGCUGGCAACAAGCUUUGAUCCGGUAAUGUCCGAAUGGGGAAACCCACCCGCUUGCGGGUAUCCUGCAGUGAAUACAUAGCUGCUGGAAGCGAACCUGGUGAACUGAAAUAUCUAAGUAACCAGAGGAAAAGAAAUCAACCGAGAUUCCGUAAGUAGCGACGAGCGAACGCGGACUAGCCCUUAAGCUGAUUUGGUUCUAGGAAAACGCUCUGGAAAGAGCGGCCAUAGAAGGUGAUAGCCCUGUAUCUGAAAGGGCCAUUUCAGUGAAGACGAGUAGGGCGGGGCACGUGAAACCCUGUCUGAACAUGGGGGGACCAUCCUCCAAGGCUAAAUACUACUGACCGACCGAUAGUGAACCAGUACCGUGAGGGAAAGGCGAAAAGAACCCCGGAGAGGGGAGUGAAAUAGAACCUGAAACCGUGUGCGUACAAGCAGUAGGAGCUCCGCAAGGAGUGACUGCGUACCUUUUGUAUAAUGGGUCAGCGACUUACUGUUCGUGGCAAGCUUAACCGUAUAGGGGAGGCGAAGGGAAACCGAGUCUGAUAAGGGCGCAUAGUCGCGGGCAGUAGACCCGAAACCGGGUGAUCUAGUCAUGCCCAGGGUGAAGGUGCGGUAACACGCACUGGAGGCCCGAACCCACUCCCGUUGCAAAGGUAGGGGAUGAGGUGUGAUUAGGAGUGAAAAGCUAAUCGAACCCGGAGAUAGCUGGUUCUCCUCGAAAGCUAUUUAGGUAGCGCCUCAUAUGUAUCCUCUCGGGGGUAGAGCACUGUUAUGGCUAGGGGGUCAUCGCGACUUACCAAACCAUUGCAAACUCCGAAUACCGAGACGGACUGUAUGGGAGACACACGGCGGGUGCUAACGUCCGUCGUGAAAAGGGAAACAACCCAGACCCACAGCUAAGGUCCCAAAUUCACUGCUAAGUGGAAAACCAUGUGGAAAGGCACAGACAGCCAGGAGGUUGGCUUAGAAGCAGCCACCCUUUAAAGAAAGCGUAAUAGCUCACUGGUCGAGUCGGUCUGCGGGGAAGAUUUAACGGGGCUAAGCAGUGAACCGAAGCUUGGGGUGCAUACUUUGUAUGCGCGGUAGAGGAGCGUUCCGUAAGCCGUUGAAGGUGGAUUGAGAAGUCUGCUGGAGGUAUCGGAAGUGCGAAUGCUGACAUGAGUAACGAUAAUGCGGGUGAAAAACCCGCACGCCGAAAGCCCAAGGUUUCCUUGCGCAACGUUAAUCGGCGCAGGGUGAGUCGGCCCCUAAGGCGAGGACGAAAGUCGUAGUCGAUGGGAAGCAGGUUAAUAUUCCUGCACCUCGCGUAAGUGCGAUGGAGGGACGGAGAAGGUUAGGUGUACCAGGCGUUGGUUGUCCUGGGGAAAGGCGGUAGGUUUGGAUCUUUGGCAAAUCCGGGAUCCUUUAAGACCGAGCACCGAGACGAGCCUUUAUGGCGAAGUCACUGAUACCACGCUUCCAGGAAAAGCUCCUAAGCUUCAGCUUACGCAGACCGUACCGUAAACCGACACAGGUGGGUAGGAUGAGAAUUCUCAGGCGCUUGAGAGAACUCGGGUGAAGGAACUAGGCAACAUGGCACCGUAACUUCGGGAGAAGGUGCACCCUUUUUGGUGGCUCGUGCGAGCUAUAGCUGAAGAGGGUCGCAGUAACCAGGCCGCUGCGACUGUUUAUCAAAAACACAGCACUCUGCAAACACGAAAGUGGACGUAUAGGGUGUGACGCCUGCCCGGUGCUGGAAGGUUAAUUGAUGGGGUCAGCCGCAAGGCGAAGCUCUUGAUCGAAGCCCCAGUAAACGGCGGCCGUAACUAUAACGGUCCUAAGGUAGCGAAAUUCCUUGUCGGGUAAGUUCCGACCUGCACGAAUGGCGUAACGACAGCGGCGCUGUCUCCACCCGAGACUCAGUGAAAUUGAAAUCGCUGUGAAGAUGCAGCGUUCCCGUGGCAAGACGGAAAGACCCCGUGAACCUUUACUAUAGCUUUACACUGAACGUUGAGUUCGUCUGUGUAGGAUAGGUGGGAGGCUAUGAAACUGUGGCGCUAGCUGCAGUGGAGCCAUCCUUGAAAUACCACCCUGUCGUGCUUGACGUUCUAACCUGGGCCCAUUAUCUGGGUCGGGGACCGUGUAUGGUGGGUAGUUUGACUGGGGCGGUCUCCUCCUAAAGAGUAACGGAGGAGCUCGAAGGUACGCUCAGCGCGGUCGGACAUCGCGCACUGUGUGCAAAGGCAUAAGCGUGCUUGACUGCAAGAUCGACGGAUCAAGCAGGUAGGAAACUAGGACUUAGUGAUCCGGUGGUUCUGUAUGGAAGGGCCAUCGCUCAACGGAUAAAAGGUACUCCGGGGAUAACAGGCUGAUACCGCCCAAGAGUUCAUAUCGACGGCGGUGUUUGGCACCUCGAUGUCGGCUCAUCACAUCCUGGGGCUGUAGUCGGUCCCAAGGGUAUGGCUGUUCGCCAUUUAAAGUGGUACGCGAGCUGGGUUCAGAACGUCGUGAGACAGUUCGGUCCCUAUCUGCCAUGGGCGUUGGAGAUUUGAGAGGGGCUGCUCCUAGUACGAGAGGACCGGAGUGGACGAACCUCUGGUGUUCCGGUUGUCACGCCAGUGGCAUUGCCGGGUAGCUAUGUUCGGAAGCGAUAACCGCUGAAAGCAUCUAAGCGGGAAGCGCGCCUCAAGAUGAGAUCUCCCGGGGCACAAGCCCCCUGAAGGAACCAUGUAGACUACGUGGUUGAUAGGUCAGGUGUGUAAGUACAGCAAUGUAUUGAGCUAACUGAUACUAAUGAUCCGUGCGGCUUGACCAU